CAGUCGCCGCGGGAAUACGAAGGGUGCAAGCGUUACUCGGAAUUACUGGGCGUAAAGCGUGCGUAGGUGGUUGUUUAAGUCCGUUGUGAAAGCCCUGGGCUCAACCUGGGAACUGCAGUGGAUACUGGGCAACUAGAGUGUGGUAGAGGAUAGUGGAAUUUCCGGUGUAGCAGUGAAAUGCGUAGAGAUCGGAAGGAACAUCUGUGGCGAAGGCGACUAUCUGGGCCAACACUGACACUGAGGCACGAAAGCGUGGGGAGCAAACAGGAUUAGAUACCCCCGUAGUCCCUGUCUCUUAUAC
rnacentral:rRNA from 1 species